GUCAGCGCGCACUGGGAGGAGCGCGUUUCCUCGCAGCCCGGGGUGGGAGAUGGAUUUAGUUCUGAUGGCAGCGCUGUAAGGGAGGCGCUGGAAGGAAAACUUCGUCAAGGAGCAGCAGCCUCUGUUGUCUGUGAUCCCCACUGACCCGAAGAAGCAGCGAAUGGCUGGGGGAUUUCAGGCAGAUGUGGGUAGAGAAACCCUUUCGGCCGCUCUGACCAGCGCGGGACUGCAGGAGGGGUAGGAAAUAUUGUCCUGCAGGUUAGCUGGGUGGAUUUAUUCAGCUGACUUAGAGGAGAAUCCUACAGGGAAGACCAGAGAUGGAUGCGAUGCCGCGCAGGAGGUUUUUGAGCAAGGACCAGCUGGACAACUGGACAAUGGGAAUGGGCACACGGAGGACUGUGUCCAUCCUCAGCAGAUGUGGAAUGACAUAUAAUGUGAUGCCACCUACCAGUGAUUCUGCAAGAAAUCCGUGGGUCACGAAGUGGCCUGAGUGCAGAGCAGAGCCGAGGGGUCCCUCCCAGUGGCCAGCUCUGGGCCUCCUCCGUGCUGCCUGUGAGCCUCUGGCCUCUGCUUGCUCCCUGGGGCUUCCACUUGGCCUCCUGGGUGUCCUGCCUUGAACUGUUGUUUAACCCUUUGGAGUCAGGAUAGAAUAGGGACCUAAGGAGGAAGGGGCAGAAAAACCUAACAAGCCUGGCAAGAGAAACUCAGGCAUUGGCCUGCUGGCUAGCAUGAAUGUGCUGAGCACACGGGCAAAUUAGGAAGGGGCAGCUGACAAGCACACAGCCUGCAGCUUACAGCACACAGCACACACCCAGCGGCUCUGUGAUCAGGAGGCAACCUCAUUACAUGGCGGAAAGAGGGACAGGGCGAUGGGGGCAGCACCUCACCCCCACCCACUUUCAGGUUACUUCUUGCCUCGUGGACAGUGACCAGAGGCCGAUCACCCGUGGUCAGCACAGCCUGCAGAGCUCGGGAACAACAGCCAGAAGCCAGUCACCACCCACCAGCAUCCCCUAACCAGCCCCUAACCUGCUAAGGGAAUCGGAUCACCCAGUAGAGUUCCCCUGCUGUGUCUCAAGUAUGCCAAUCAGGGCACAACUGGAGUCCUGUACCCCCAUAUAUCAUGGGACCCCAGGGCAGAACAUCACAUUUCACCCCUUUGCCUGCAUCCCUGCAGGUGCACUUACCUUCUUUUGCUUCACCCCAAUAAAUUUUUUGCUUGCCUGAUUAAU
rnacentral:lncRNA from 1 species